rnacentral:rRNA from 1 species
UACGAAGGGGGCUAGCGUUGCUCGGAAUCACUGGGCGUAAAGGGUGCGUAGGCGGGUUCUUAAGUCAGAGGUGAAAUCCUGGAGCUCAACCAUACCGUAGCUCUUGAUACUGAGAGUCUUGAGUAUGACAGAGGUGAGUGGAACUGCGAGUGUAGAGGUGAAAUUCGUAGAUAUUCGCAAGAACACCAGUGGCGAAGGCGGCUCACUGGGUCAUUACUGACGCUGAGGCACGAAAGCGUGGGGAGCAAACAGG